UUAGUUGAGUUGCCGCGACCAUUUGAUAUGGAAUUAAAAAGUUCCCCGCAUUCCUUGUGUUGUAAUUGUGGAACUCUCUAUUUCGCGUCAGUUUCUUCUUGUUACCAUGGAUGUAUGUAUAGGAUGCAGAAAAAAUUUGUACCUACAAACAGCUGAGUGUCAGUAUGCUCUCCUUUUGGAAGAGCUUUCAGUACUCCCCACUCCACAUCAUAUACGAAUGGCAUGUUUCUGUUUUCUCAAAAUCUUUCAUUUCAGAUCCACCACCCGGCACCCCAUACAGUAACCCAUAGUCUAACACAACUGAAAUAUCCAUAAUAAGCGAUUUUAGCUGCUUGCUUUCCUGCUAACUGUCUAGAUCUUCUAAUGAGAUAUAUACCCAGGAAUUUCAGAUUCGUCUCAGUCGCAGAUUUAGUUUCAAAGGUACUGCAAGGACGUUGAGAAAAUUCCUAGAACGUUACGGGCAGGUCCA